rnacentral:tRNA from 1 species
GGGUAUAUAGCUCAAAAGGUAGAGCGUAUGCUUAGCACGCACAAGGUCCUAGGUUCAAUCUCUGGUACCUCCU